AACGAACGCUGGCGGCGUGCUUAACACAUGCAAGUCGAACGGAAAGGCCCUGCUUUUGGGGGGUGCUCGAGUGGCGAACGGGUGAGUAACACGUGAGUAACCUGCCCUUGACUGUGGGAUAACUUCAGGAAACUUGGGCUAAUACCGGAUAGGAGCUCCUGCUGCAUGGUGGGGGUUGGAAGGUUUCGGCGGUUGGGGAUGGACUCGCGGCUUAUCAGCUUGUUGGUGGGGUAGUGGCUUACCAAGGCUUUGACGGGUAGCCGGCCUGAGAGGGUGACCGGCUACAUUGGGACUGAGCUACGGCACAGACUCCUACGCGAGGCAGCAGUGCGGAAUAUUGCACAAUGGGCGGAAGCCUGCUGCAGCAACGCCGCGUGCGGGAUGACGGCCUUCGGGUUGUAAACCGCUUUCGCCUGUGACGAAGCGUGAGUGACGGUAAUGGGUAAAGAAGCACCGGCUAACUACGUG
rnacentral:rRNA from 1 species